rnacentral:rRNA from 1 species
CCUACGGGAGACAGCAGUCGGGAAUCUUGCACAAUGGGCGAAAGCCUGAUGCAGCAACGCCGCGUGAAGGAAGAAGGCUCUCGGGUUGUAAACUUCUUUUAAGGGGUAAGAGCAGAAGACGGUACCCCUUGCAUAAGCCACGGCUAACUACGUGCCGGCAGCCGCGGUCAUACGUAGGUGGCACGCGUUGUCCGGAUUUACUGGGUGUAAAGGGCGUGAAGCCGGAGGGACAAGUCAGUUGUGAAAUCCACGGGCUCACCCCGUGAACUGCAUUUGAAACGGUGUCACGUGAGUGUCGGAGAGGUAAUCGGAAUUCCUGGUGUAGCGGGGAAAUGCGUAGAUAUAGGGAAGAACACCAGUGGCGAGGGCGGAUUACUGGACGAUAACUGACGGUGAGGCGCGAAGGCGUGGGGAGCAAACGGGAUUAGAUACCCUUGUAGUC